rnacentral:lncRNA from 1 species
GUUUAUUGCUAACAUUUGUAAUUUCACUCAUUAACCAAAUCAGUGACUCUGUUGUCUCUCCAUUUCUGACGACUACACCAUUUGUUUUCUUUUAAAAAUCUUUCUAUGUUUGUUCACUUGUUGAGAAGGUAUGCGUUGUAAAGGCACGUCUGUGUUUUUUUCUUUCUAAAAAUAAAAAUCGCAAAUCGCAAAUUAUUAUAAGGCUAUAUAAUAUAAGAUUAGGUCACAUAACCAAGAUUAUUAUAUCGC